GAGCGAAUGGAUUAAGAGCUUGCUCUUAUGAAGUUAGCGGCGGACGGGUGAGUAACACGUGGGUAACCUGCCCAUAAGACUGGGAUAACUCCGGGAAACCGGGGCUAAUACCGGAUAACAUUUUGAACCGCAUGGUUCGAAAUUGAAAGGCGGCUUCGGCUGUCACUUAUGGAUGGACCCGCGUCGCAUUAGCUAGUUGGUGAGGUAACGGCUCACCAAGGCAACGAUGCGUAGCCGACCUGAGAGGGUGAUCGGCCACACUGGGACUGAGACACGGCCCAGACUCCUACGGGAGGCAGCAGUAGGGAAUCUUCCGCAAUGGACGAAAGUCUGACGGAGCAACGCCGCGUGAGUGAUGAAGGCUUUCGGGUCGUAAAACUCUGUUGUUAGGGAAGAACAAGUGCUAGUUGAAUAAGCUGGCACCUUGACGGUACCUAACCAGAAAGCCACGGCUAACUACGUGCCAGCAGCCGCGGUAAUACGUAGGUGGCAAGCGUUAUCCGGAAUUAUUGGGCGUAAAGCGCGCGCAGGUGGUUUCUUAAGUCUGAUGUGAAAGCCCACGGCUCAACCGUGGAGGGUCAUUGGAAACUGGGAGACUUGAGUGCAGAAGAGGAAAGUGGAAUUCCAUGUGUAGCGGUGAAAUGCGU
rnacentral:rRNA from 1 species